rnacentral:sRNA from 1 species
AAGAAGAAGAAAAAAGUCACAAACAUUU